CCGGGAAAUGUAAAUCAGGAGGUUCCUCCGUCGGAAGUCCCUUCGGCUGGCGACGUGAGCGCUUUGGCUGUGGCCCCCGUGGAGCCUGAGCCCUCCGCACGGCCUCAGCGCAGCCUUGGGGCCUCCCGGCAGGGUCCCUCGGCAGCCCGCGGGAGAGGCCGUGGGGCCCUGGGAGGAGCGUGGUUCAGAGUCUGUGAGGGGGUCGGUGGCCUCAGGUCCCUUUCAGUCAUUUGCGAUGCACCCAUGGUGUCCGCGUGCUGUGAAAUCGGGAAUUGUUGGACGCGAGCCAAGAAUGAGGCCGGUUUGGAAAGCGCAGGCGUGUCUGGGCGGGGUCUGCCGCGGGGCGUGGAUGGCCAGACCGGGAGCGGGACCGUCCCCAGCGCAGAAGGCUUUGCGGGCGCACCAGGAUACCCGAAGUCACCUCCUGUAGCUUCCCCAGGAGCUCCGGUGCCUUCUCUGGUGUCUUUUUCUGCGGGGCUCACCCAGAAGCCUUUCCCCAGCGAUGGGGGAGUUGUCCUCUUUAACAAAGUGCUGGUGAACGACGGGGACGUUUACAAUCCCAGCACGGGGGUCUUCACGGCUCCUUAUGAUGGGCGUUACCUGAUCACGGCGACCCUCACCCCCGAGAGAGACGCCUACGUGGAAGCAGUGCUGUCAGUCUCCAACGCCAGCGUGGCCCAGCUGCAUACCGCUGGGUACAGGAGAGAGUUCCUGGAAUACCACCGCCCUCCAGGGGCUUUGCACACCUGCGGGGGCCCAGGGGCAUUCCACCUCAUCGUGCACCUGAAGGCGGGAGAUGCAGUCAACAUCGUGGUGACUGGGGGCAAGCUGGCUCACACAGACUUUGACGAAAUGUACUCCACAUUUAGUGGGGUUUUCUUAUAUCCUUUCCUUUCCCACCUCUAAGGUGGCUGGGGAGAUGUCAGGGGAAAGAUAGUUGUAAAAACUCUAAAGCUUUAAUAUAUUCGGUUUUGUAUGUAAUGGAAGCACGGGGCUAGUUUCCACAUAUGCCCACCACCUGUCCCCAACAUAAAGGCCUUCCCUCGCUGUUGAGGCCACCAUGCCUUACUGCAUCCAGCCAGGCUGCAAAGAGUGAGGCACACGGUGAAUGUGGCCACUGACUUUUCUGCCACUCUAACUGGACAACUGGAAGACUCAGAAAGGCCUCCACCUGUAUCUACACUCUCAGGGCCCUGGACUGGGCCUGAGCUUGUGCCACAGAGGCUCCGUCUGACUGUGGGCUGGGAGGAGGGAGGCAGGGGACAGCCCGUCACUGUGGCUGGUCUUUACUGCAGGGCAGCACUGUGGCCAGCUGUCUGUCUUUACACUGCAUGCAGAAGUUUAAACACUGAAGUGCCGAAGUGGCCCGUGCCGCUGCACAGAGACCCCGACUUUAGUUUGGGCUGUUCCACGCUUGGUUCACCAUUGCCGCCUGGGACUUAUCCUGCUCAGGCGGGCCUUGGCCCAGCUGCGAACGGGGAUGCGUUAGAGACUGUUCCCAAAGCUUGUUGGGCUCCUUAAAUGGCAUGUACAAUUUAAGUGCAAAGACAGG
rnacentral:sRNA from 1 species